rnacentral:rRNA from 1 species
GACGAACCGUGCGAACGUUAUUCGGAAUCACUGGGCUUAAAGCGCGUGUAGGCGGCCGGCACGUCCGUCGCUGAAAUCCCCGGCUCAACCGGGGAAGUGGCGUGGAUACGACCGGGCUGGAGGGGGUAGGGGAGCCGGAACUUCCGGUGGAGCGGUGAAUGCGUUGAGAUCGGAAGGAACGCCGUGGCGAAAGCGGCUCCUGGACCCGACCUGACGCUGAGACGCGAAGCCAGGGAGCGAA